rnacentral:snoRNA from 1 species
AGUCUUAGAAAACCUACCCAUCAAACCUAAACACUGGUCUGUGUGAGUUCUAAAAGGAGGAAAAGUAAAAUUGAAAUGGACUUAAAUUUUUUGGUGACUAGUUUCAGCAAGCUAGUUUCAAGCCAAG